UGGCUCAGUGGUAGAGCGUUUGCCUUGCAUGCAUGAAGCCCUGGGUUCGAUUCCUUA
rnacentral:tRNA from 1 species